rnacentral:rRNA from 1 species
UCAGUCGACUCCUACGGGGAGGCAGCAGUGGGGGAAUAUUGCACAAUGGGCGCAAGCCUGAUGCAGCCAUGCCGCGUGUGUGAGAAGGCCUUCGGGUUGUUAAAGCACUUUCAGUUGUGAGGAAGGUGGUGUCGUUAAUAGCGGCAUCAUUUGACGUUAGCAACAGAAGAAGCACCGGCUAACUCCGUGCCAGCAGCCGCGGUAAUACGGAGGGUGCGAGCGUUAAUCGGAAUUACUGGGCGUAAAGCGCAUGCAGGUGGUUUGUUAAGUCAGAUGUGAAAGCCCGGGGCGUCAACCUCGGAACUGCAUUUGAAACUGGCAGACUAGAGUACUGUAGAGGGGGGUAGGAAUUUCAGGUGUAGCGGUGAAAUGCGUAGAGAUCUGAAGGAAUACCGGUGGCGAAGGCGGCCCCCUCGGACAGAUACUGACACUCAGAUGCGAAAGCAUGGGGAGCAAACAGGAUUAGAUACCCUGGUAG